UACGGGGGGGGCAAGCGUUGUUCGGAAUUACUGGGCGUAAAGGGCUCGUAGGCGGCCAACUAAGUCGGACGUGAAAUCCCCAGGCUCAACCUGGGAACUGCGUCUGAUACUGGAUGGCUUGAAUCCGGGAGAGGGAUGCAGAAUUCCAGGUGUAGCGGUGAAAUGCGCAGAUAUCAGGAGGAACACCGGUGGCGAAGGCGGAUCUCUGGGCCUUGCCUGACGCUGAGGCGCGAAAGCUAGGGGAGCGAACAGG
rnacentral:rRNA from 1 species